UACGUAGGCAGCGAGCGUUGUUCGGAAUUACUGGGCGUAAAGAGCGUGUAGGCGGCCAGGUAGGUCUGCUGUGAAAACUCGAGGCUUAACCUCGAGCUGUCGGCGGAAACCAUCUGGCUAGAGUCCGGAAGAGGAGAAUGGAAUUCCCGGUGUAGCGGUGAAAUGCGCAGAUAUCGGGAAGAACACCCGUGGCGAAGGCGGUUCUCUGGGACGGUACUGACGCUGAGACGCGAAAGCGUGGGGAGCGAACAGG
rnacentral:rRNA from 1 species